GACGAACGCUGGCGGCGUGCUUAACACAUGCAAGUCGAACGGACAGGCCCUGCUUUUGUGGGGUGCUCGAGUGGCGAACGGGUGAGUAACACGUGAGUAACCUGCCCUUGACUUUGGGAUAACUUCAGGAAACUGGGGCUAAUACCGCAUAGGAGCUCCUGCUCCAUGGUGGUGGUUGGAAAGUUUCGGCGGUUGGGGAUGGACUCGCGGCUUAUCCGCCUGUUGGUGGGGUAGUGGCUUACCAAGGCUUUGACGGGUAGCCUGCCUGAGAGGGGUGCCGGGGACAAUGGGACUGAGAGAGGGCGCAGAAGGGUACGGGAGGCAGCAGGGGGGAAUAUGGCAGAAUGGGCGGAAGCGUGAUGCAGAGACGCCGGGUGCGGGAUGACGGCCUUCGGGGGGUAAACCGAUGUGGAAGGUGACGAAGAGGGAGUGACGGUAAUGGGUAAAGAAGCAACGGCUAACUACGUG
rnacentral:rRNA from 1 species